GCCUGGGUAGCUCUGUUGGUUAAGCGUCUGACUUCUACUCAGGUCAUAAUCUCAUGAGUUCAUGAGUUCAUGAGUUCAAGCCCCAUGUCAGGCC
rnacentral:tRNA from 1 species